GCUUCUUCACCAUGGUUUAUUCAUUAUUGCGCCAAGUUUCAUCCAUCACUCACUUUACUUUCUCUUCCGAAGCUAGCAAAUCAAGUGAAUAUGAAAAUUUCGUUUGCAAGCCAGGGCAUAUCAUAGUCGCGAUCCAUCUCUAUCUGCAAUGGCGAACCAGCAACAGAUUGAUUCAAGGCCGUGGAUUCUCGAUGUCGUGCAUUUCAUCGUUGUUAUUCUAAUAGCUGCUCAUGUUCUCGCUCUGGCCUACUGGAUUUACCGAUUAGCGACGGAUAACAGGCCUCAAAGGAGGAAAGCACAUUGACGAACAGUUUGAUUUACUGAACCGAAGAUAAGAAGGUUAGUGGAACCCUAAUUUGUUGAAUGUUUUCGAAGCUCAUAGCUGCAAUGCUAACAGAGAAACGUGUCUGGUACCAUUUUCAUUAUCUGUUACUGUAACUAACAGUUGAGGAUGAUAUAUAAUAGAUCCUUUCUUUAAUGUCGAUCGAUUUAGGUUGCCUCCUCUGUGUAAGGGUUAUGCCUUUGAUCUAAUUGAUCAAUCUACGUGUAUCUGGUCCUCUAACUCUGCGCCAUGUUUUAUUUUGAUAUCAAACCGUUUCUUCAUCAUCCAGUUGUCAGUCGUCUACAGUAAAAUCAAUAUUGGGAAGUUAGAAACUCA